CUGUGAGUUCGAGACCAGCCUAGUC
rnacentral:piRNA from 1 species